CUGGGCUCCCUUGGGGUUCUUUGCCUAGCUGUUGGGUGUACAGAUGUUUGUCGGGUUCCUGAAGAUUCGGCGACGUGUUAUCAUCCAUGCAAGCUUCCCCAACCCAGCCAGUGUACCACAAGACAACAGGCAGUGAGGAGGACGGUAGGAGGGAGCGAGCGGCUGCAUGCACUAUUGAACGGGACAGCAUUACAUUCUUGCCACAGUUGUAUGACUACACUGAAGCAAGCAUAGAAUAAAGUGUUGAGUGACCAUGAUGAAUCAGUACUACUAACGCCAAAGAAGUGAGGGAAGUGUUUGGAGUGAGCGUGCAAGACC